GACGAACGCUGGCGGCGUGCCUAAUACAUGCAAGUCGAACGCAGUGGGGACGGUUGAGUAACACGUGGGUAACCUCCCAUCAGAGGUGAUAACACUUGGAAACAGGUGCUAAACCGAUACUGGUUGAUGGAGCCGGGGUGCAUUAGCUAGUUGGUGAGGUAACGGCUCACCAAGGCCACGAGGCGUAGCCGACCUGAGAGGGUGAUCGGCCACACUGGGACUGAGACACGGCCCAGACUCCUACGGGAGGCAGCAGUAGGGAAUCUUGGGCAAUGGACGAAAGUCUGACCGAGCAACGCCGCGUGAGUGAAGAAGGUUUUCGGAUCGUAAAGCACUGUAGUUAGAGAGGCGGUAUCUAAAGAGAAAGCAACGGCUAACUACGUGCCAGCAGCCGCGGUAAUAC
rnacentral:rRNA from 1 species